rnacentral:rRNA from 1 species
AUACGUAGGUGGCAAGCGUUGUCCGGAUUUAUUGGGCGUAAAGCGAGCGCAGGCGGUUCUUUAAGUCUGAUGUGAAAGCCCCCGGCUCAACCGGGGAGGGUCAUUGGAAACUGGAGGACUUGAGUGCAGAAGAGGAGAGUGGAAUUCCAUGUGUAGCGGUGAAAUGCGUAGAUAUAUGGAGGAACACCAGUGGCGAAGGCGGCUCUCUGGUCUGUAACUGACGCUGAGGCUCGAAAGCGUGGGGAGCAAACAGGAUUAGAUACCCUGGUAGUCCACGCCGUAAACGAUGAGUGCUAAGUGUUGGAGGGUUUCCGCCCUUCAGUGCUGCAGCUAACGCAUUAAGCACUCCGCCUGGGGAGUACGACCGCAAGGUUGAA